UAGCAUAGUGGUCACUGCGCUCGCCUUGCACGCGGGAGACCCGGGUUCGAUUCCCGG
rnacentral:tRNA from 1 species